rfam:Streptococcus lutetiensis 033, complete genome.
UGAAAACGUUUUACAAUAAUAUCGUUCUUAAAAUUUCCUUGGAACGGAAAAGAAUUGUCGGACUUGUCCGGAAGGAGAUUAUUCUUUUUUGUUUCAACGAAAAAUAAUCAUAAGGAGGAAGAACAAGA